GACGAACGCUGGCGGCGUGCUUAACACAUGCAAGUCGAACGGAAAGGCCCUGCUUUUGUGGGGUGCUCGAGUGGCGAACGGGUGAGUAACACGUGAGUAACCUGCCCCUGACUUUGGGAUAACUUCAGGAAACUGGGGCUAAUACCGGAUAGGAGCUCCUGCUGCAUGGUGGGGGUUGGAAAGUUUCGGCGGUUGGGGCUGGACUCGCGGCUUAUCAGCUUGUUGGUGGGGUAGUGGCUUACCAAGGCUUUGACGGGUAGCCGGCCUGAGAGGGUGACCGGCCACAUUGGGACUGAGAUACGGCCCAGACUCCUACGGGAGGCAGCAGGGGGGAAUAUUGCACAAUGGGCGGAAGCCUGAGGCAGCGGCGCCGCGUGCGGGAUGACGGCCUUCGGGUUGUAAACCGCUUUCGCCUGUGACGAAGCGUGAGUGACGGUAAUGGGUAAAGAAGCACCGGCUAACUACGUG
rnacentral:rRNA from 1 species